rnacentral:rRNA from 1 species
UACGUAGGGGGCAAGCGUUGUCCGGAAUUAUUGGGCGUAAAGCGCGUGUAGGCGGCUCGGUAAGUCUGCUGUGAAAGUCCAGGGCUCAACCCUGGAAUGCCGGUGGAUACUGUCGGGCUCGAGUGCGGGAGAGGCGAGUGGAAUUCCUGGUGUAGCGGUGAAAUGCGCAGAUAUCAGGAGGAACACCGAUUGCGAAGGCAGCUCGCUGGAACGUAACUGACGCUGAGACGCGAAAGCGUGGGGAGCAAACAGG